CCUACGGGAGGCAGCAGUAGGGAAUAUUGCUCAAUGGGGGAAACCCUGAUGCAGCAACGCCGCGUGGAGGAUGAAGGUUUUCGGAUCGUAAAGCCCUAUUGUUAGGGAAGAAAAUGACGGUACCUAACGAAUAAGCCCCGGCUAACUACGUGCCAGCAGCCGCGGUAAUACGGAGGGUGCAAGCGUUACUCGGAAUCACUGGGCGUAAAGAGAGCGUAGGCGGGAUAGCAAGUCAGAUGUGAAAUCCUAUGGCUUAACCAUGGAACUGCAUUUGAAACUGUUCAGCUGGAGUAUAGGAGAGGUAAGUGGAAUUCUUGGUGUAGGGGUGAAAUCCGUAGAGAUCAGGAGGAAUACUCGUGGCGAAGGCGGCCUGCUAGAACGUAACUGACGCUGAUGCGCGAAAGCGUGGGGAGCAAACAGGAUUAGAUACCCCAGUAGUC
rnacentral:rRNA from 1 species